UCCUCAAAUAAGCACUGUGUAUGGUUUGCAAAAGGUUGGAGUUCAAUUUUUGGGAAUAGAAUCCACGAACCAAAACGGCAUAAUAGUAUUCCCUAUGUUGAAGGAUCUCUAUGUAGAGAGUUAGUAAGAGUGGGAAGAAUGAAUUGAUAUUGGAGGAAUGAGAGAAGAAGAAAAAGAAAAAGAUAAUGGCAGCAGUACUGUUACUAUAAAAAUAAUGACACGUCUUAAUUUCUUGACAAUUUGGUAUUGCCAAAAGCUAAAGCCACUGCCAGACUUCAUUCUUACUACUCCAUUACAACAAUUGAAAAUCCGGGGCCCUAUACUUCUCAUAUCCCAAACAUUCAAAUUGAUUUCAAGGAUGUGCAAAUUGACGGUCGACUCCAGUUGGAUUCAGGCACUUCAAAGAUUAAAGGCAAUGAAUCCGGGCAAGAAAUCAAUGAUAAAGAUGAGGUGGACAAGAUUCAGGACAGUAAUUUUGAGUAUGAGGCGGAUGAACAAUUGGAAGUACACAUUGAUGAGACUGGGUAGUAAGAGCAAGGUGUUGAAGAGGACAGAGAUUUUAAAGACGAAGGAUGAGGUAUGCAUGUAGAUGGAUGAUGAUCAAGACAAUGAAUUCAGCCAGGAAAUCAAUGGCGAAAAUGAUGUGGUUGAGGUAUCCAAGAUUGAGGACAGUAAUGAUGAAGAAAAUGGGACUAAGCAUAAGGAUUUAUCAAACAAGAAGAUGGGACUAAGAAUAAGGUGGAUGAAGAAGUAGAAGUAGGCAACGAUGAGGGAAAUUCACAGAGCUGGACAGUACAGGCCGAUUGACAUUCACUGAAGAAGUGGGAUACAUAUUUUGAGAGUGGGUAGUGAGAGCAAGGUGUUGAAGAUGACAGAGACUUUAAAGAUGAAGGAGGAGGUAUCAUGAAUUUUAGCUUCAAGUAGAGUUCUUUAGAAUGAUGAUACUGAUAGUGAGAGAGAAGUGAGAUAUAAAGCCUCAUUGACUGAAGUUUGAUGUGACUUUAACUCUCCAUUUUUAGGAUUUCUUUGACUCUCACCUCAGAACCAGAAUGAUCAAUUUCUCCCUGCUGUCUCCCUUGCCAGUCUUCGGUGAUAUAUUUAAAUGGUGGAGGAUCUCAGCAUAAAGAUGUACUUGAUAUCACAGUGACAAAAUCCAGUCCUGCAGUACCGUUUCUGUUGCAGCUAAAAUGAUGCAAGUGUAAUUGGGUCUUAAAUUUCAUUCAAACACGAUAAAUUGUUUAAUAUUAUAAUUGUCAAUUCAUUUUGUUUAUAUGAAAACAUUUACAUACAG